rnacentral:rRNA from 1 species
CACGUAGGGGGCGAGCGUUGUUCGGAAUUACUGGGCGUAAAGGGCAUGUAGGCGGCUCUGUAAGUCCGGCGUGGAAGCCCACGGCUCAACCGUGGGAUUGCGCUGGAAACUGCGGGGCUCGAAUCAUGGAGAGGGAGCUAGAAUUCCAGGUGUAGGGGUGAAAUCUGUAGAGAUCUGGAAGAAUACCAGUGGCGAAGGCGAGCUCCUGGCCAAUGAUUGACGCUGAGGUGCGAAAGUGUGGGGAUCAAAC